rfam:Pongo abelii chromosome 1.
GGAUGUGAAGGUGAUCUGGCUGCGACAUCUGUCACCCCAUUGAUCACCAAGUUUGAUUCGGAUUGAUGUGGCUGGCUAGGCGGGCAUCCCUUUCCUCCCUACUACUUCCCAUGCAUCCCUCCUGAAGCUGCAUGUUUGGUCAAAGAGGAUGACCUCCCCUGAUAGAGGAAGACCAUUAUUCCUGUCAAGUGUAGCUGUGCUCCCCUGCAAGAACUUGCAAACAGCUCAAAAUAAACCCCCAAAACCAAUAAAAGUCUAUAAUGUAAAGGACUCCAGGUUAAGUCAUUUUAUUUCUCUUGUCUUUGUCU